rnacentral:rRNA from 1 species
GGCUUCCUACGGGGCGCAGCAGUGGGGAAUAUUGCACAAUGGGGGAAACCCUGAUGCAGCAACGCCGCGUGAGUGAAGAAGUAUUUUGGUAUGUAAAGCUCUAUCAGUAGGGAAGAAGAAAGACGGUACCUGACUAAGAAGCCCCGGCUAACUACGUGCCAGCAGCCGCGGUAAUACGUAGGGGGCAAGCGUUAUCCGGAUUUACUGGGUGUAAAGGGAGCGUAGACGGCUGUGCAAGUCUGAAGUGAAAGCCCGUGGCUCCACCGCGGAACUGCUUUGGAAACUGUACAGCUUGAGUACUGGAG